rnacentral:rRNA from 1 species
UACGAAGGGGGCUAGCGUUGAUCGGAAUCACUGGGCGUAAAGCGCACGUAGGCGGACUCUUAAGUCAGGGGUGAAAUCCUGGAGCUCAACUCCAGAACUGCCUUUGAUACUGGGAGUCUUGAGUUCGGGAGAGGUGAGUGGAACUGCGAGUGUAGAGGUGAAAUUCGUAGAUAUUCGCAAGAACACCAGUGGCGAAGGCGGCUCACUGGCCCGAUACUGACGCUGAGGUGCGAAAGCGUGGGGAGCAAACAGG